GAUGAACGCUAGCUACAGGCUUAACACAUGCAAGUCGAGGGGAAACGAUGAGAGAGCUUGCUCUCUUAGUCGUCGACCGGCGCACGGGUGAGUAACGCGUAUCCAACCUGCCUCUGACCAAGGGAUAACCCGUCGAAAGUCGGACUAAUACCUUAUGCAGUCGUCGGAAGUCAUCUGAUGACGACGAAAGAUUUCAUCGGUGAGAGAUGGGGAUGCGUCUGAUUAGCUUGUUGGCGGGGUAACGGCCCACCAAGGCGACGAUCAGUAGGGGUUCUGAGAGGAAGGGCCCCCAGAGUGGAACUGAGACACGGUCCAAACUCCUACGGGCGGCAGCAGUGAGGAAUAUUGGUGAAUGGACGUAAGCCUGAACCAGCCAAGUAGCGUGCAGGAUGACGGCCCUAUGGGUUGUAAACUGCUUUUAUGCGGGGAUAAAGUGAGGGGCGUGUCCUUCAUUGCAGGUACCGCAUGAAUAAGGACCGGCUAAUUCCGUG
rnacentral:rRNA from 1 species